UGGUGGUCACUACGGAAGGAACUUUGAAGAGUUCAAGGGGCACUGUUCUUGCUGUGGAGUAGACUUCUUCCAAAAGAAAGUCUACUCGAAAGAAGAAGAUAAAAUUCACUAAGAAGCAGAAGAAAGAGAGCAAGCCAAAGAAGAAAGUUUCUAAGAAGAUCGAAGUAAAGGGAAAGUAUUUCUACUGUGAUGCUAAAGGCC
rnacentral:lncRNA from 1 species